GCCUCCUUAGCGCAGUCGGUUAGCGCGUCAGUCUCAUAAACUGAAGGUCGUGAGUUCGAGCCUCACAGGUGGCA
rnacentral:tRNA from 1 species